GUUCAAGCCAACCAUGGACAAGGAGAAGAACCCAAUGUCUGGAAUUAUGGACUUAAAGAAUACUUUAGGUUCCCCCAUUUGGUUUUGAGAGCUGUUACUCGUGUGGCAUGCAUUCGCAUAAACAUGCUUGCUGUGAUCCAUAAUCGGCCUGCAAGAACAAGUGGUCAUACAUGAACUGCUGUUCAGCAUCCGUUGGCCGGACCUAAAAGCUAUCACAGAGAAGUACGACCACCCCAAGGUACAACCAUUAUCUCAAUUUGGUUGCUAUUUUCGGCAUGUUGUACUCUGUUAAAAUUUGUCUGCUUAAACAUGUUUACAAUUUGGGUGUCUGUAGACAAUGGUAUCUCCACAAGAUAUUCCUUCAUCUUUCUUUGAAGACUGCAAUGCUUAAACAUGUUUACAAUUUGGGUGUCUGUAGACAAUGGUAUCUCCACAAGAUAUUCCUUCAUCUUUCUUUGAAGACUGCAAUAAGUGAAGCCUGAAGACUAGAGAAUAUUUUUGGAGAAAUUCUGCAGGAGAUGCUGAAAAUAUUUUGAUUGUAGGAUAAUUUAAAUCGGUCAAGAAAUGUGUCAUUCCCAACUUUGAAAAAAGUUGCUACUGAUCUUACCGUUCCCGUCACAUUAGUAGCAAUUGAAGCACUUUUGUACAG
rnacentral:lncRNA from 1 species